rnacentral:sRNA from 1 species
CAGCGCGGCGCCGAAGUGUACAACAGCAGAAGUCUUCAAUAUAACGGAUGAAAAAUUCAAUUCAACUCAAAUACAACUUCACACAUAACAAAUAAAAAUAUAUAUCAAAUCACAUUUCGUUCACCUUGCUUGCUUGUCGCCGUCGUCGUCGUUCAUAUGUGUAUGUGCGUGUAUGCGAGAGAAAGAGAGAGAGCAACAACAGCAGCAACUUUUGUCAAUUGUCUGUCAAAUGUUCAAAUAAAAAAUCUGAUUCUACAAACACAGAAAGGCGAUAAAUAAAAAUUACGUUCAACACGCAAAUUGAAAGUGCAAUAAGAAGAAGAAAACGUCAAAUGCGGUUGAAAGUGGCCAAUUAAUAAAAGAAAAAGUGUGUUUGCAACAAAAUAAAUAAGAAAGCAAGAAUAAAAAGGAAUCAAAGGCAACAUUUAGAGAAGUUAUCAAAAAAUCGCGCGCGUUUUAAACCAACAUUUUUAACAAACGUUUUUCUGCGGAGUAUCUCGUGUUCGUUCUUCGUUCUCGAGUGAGUGCUGCCACACAAGAAAAAUAAAAUAAGAAAUUAAAAACACUUAUACACACUCACUCAAA